CGACUCUGGUAUUGAUUGGUGCUUGCAUCAUGAUUUACAUUUGAGUGAGUGGCGAACUGGUGAGUAACACGUGGGAAACCUGCCCAGAAGCGGGGGAUAACACCUGGAAACAGAUGCUAAUACCGCAUAACAACUUGGACCGCAUGGUCCGAGUUUGAAAGAUGGCUUCGGCUAUCACUUUUGGAUGGUCCCGCGGCGUAUUAGCUAGAUGGUGGGGUAACGGCUCACCAUGGCAAUGAUACGUAGCCGACCUGAGAGGGUAAUCGGCCACAUUGGGACUGAGACACGGCCCAAACUCCUACGGGAGGCAGCAGUAGGGAAUCUUCCACAAUGGACGAAAGUCUGAUGGAGCAACGCCGCGUGAGUGAAGAAGGGUUUCGGCUCGUAAAACUCUGUUGUUAAAGAAGAACAUAUCUGAGAGUAACUGUUCAGGUAUUGACGGUAUUUAACCAGAAAGCCACGGCUAACUACGUGCCAGCAGCCGCGGUAAUACGUAGGUGGCAAGCGUUGUCCGGAUUUAUUGGGCGUAAAGCGAGCGCAGGCGGUUUUUUAAGUCUGAUGUGAAAGCCUUCGGCUCAACCGAAGAAGUGCAUCGGAAACUGGGAAACUUGAGUGCAGAAGAGGACAGUGGAACUCCAUGUGUAGCGGUGAAAUGCGUAGAUAUAUGGAAGAACACCAGUGGCGAAAGCGGCUGUCUGGUCUGUAACUGACGC
rnacentral:rRNA from 2 species